CCUGUCCUACGGGACGCAGCAGUGGGGGAUAUUGCACAAUGGGGGGAACCCUGAUGCAGCGACGCCGCGUGGGUGAAGAAGCGCCUCGGCGCGUAAAGCCCUGUCAGCAGGGAAGAAAAUGACGGUACCUGAAGAAGAAGCCCCGGCUAACUACGUGCCAGCAGCCGCGGUAAUACGUAGGGGGCAAGCGUUAUCCGGAUUUACUGGGUGUAAAGGGGGCGCAGAGGGCGAUGCAAGCCAGGAGUGAAAGCCCGGGGCCGAACACCGGGACUGCUCUUGG
rnacentral:rRNA from 1 species